rnacentral:rRNA from 1 species
UACGUAGGGGGCAAGCGUUGUCCGGAAUCAUUGGGCGUAAAGCGCGUGUAGGCGGCUCGGUAAGUCCGCUCUGAAAGUCCAGGGCUCAACCCUGGGAUGCGGGUGGAUACUGCCGAGCUCGAGUCCGGAAGAGGAGAGUGGAAUUCCUGGUGUAGCGGUGAAAUGCGCAGAUAUCAGGAAGAACACCAAUGGCGAAAGCAGCUCUCUGGGACGGUACUGACGCUGAGACGCGAAAGCGUGGGGAGCGAACAGG